rnacentral:rRNA from 1 species
UUUAUUGGAGAGUUUGAUCCUGGCUCAGGAUGAACGCUGGCGGCGUGCCUAAUACAUGCAAGUCGAGCGAAUGGAUUAAGAGCUUGCUCUUAUGAAGUUAGCGGCGGACGGGUGAGUAACACGUGGGUAACCUGCCCAUAAGACUGGGAUAACUCCGGGAAACCGGGGCUAAUACCGGAUAAUAUUUUGAACCGCAUGGUUCGAAAUUGAAAGGCGGCUUCGGCUGUCACUUAUGGAUGGACCCGCGUCGCAUUAGCUAGUUGGUGAGGUAACGGCUCACCAAGGCAACGAUGCGUAGCCGACCUGAGAGGGUGAUCGGCCACACUGGGACUGAGACACGGCCCAGACUCCUACGGGAGGCAGCAGUAGGGAAUCUUCCGCAAUGGACGAAAGUCUGACGGAGCAACGCCGCGUGAGUGAUGAAGGCUUUCGGGUCGUAAAACUCUGUUGUUAGGGAAGAACAAGUGCUAGUUGAAUAAGCUGGCACCUUGACGGUACCUAACCAGAAAGCCACGGCUAACUACGUGCCAGCAGCCGCGGUAAUACGUAGGUGGCAAGCGUUAUCCGGAAUUAUUGGGCGUAAAGCGCGCGCAGGUGGUUUCUUAAG